rnacentral:rRNA from 1 species
CCUACGGGAGGCAGCAGUGAGGAAUAUUGGACAAUGGGCGCAAGCCUGAUCCAGCCAUGCCGCGUGCAGGAAGAAGCAUCUAUGGUGUGUAAACUGCUUUUGUACGGGAAGAAACACUGCUACGCGUAGCAGCUUGACGGUACCGUAAGAAUAAGGAUCGGCUAACUCCGUGCCAGCAGCCGCGGUAAUACGGAGGAUCCAAGCGUUAUCCGGAAUCAUUGGGUUUAAAGGGUCCGUAGGCGGUUUGGUAAGUCAGUGGUGAAAGCCCAUCGCUUAACGAUGGAACAGCCAUUGAUACUGCCAGACUUGAAUUACUAGGAAGUAACUAGAAUAUGUAGUGUAGCGGUGAAAUGCUUAGAUAUUACAUGGAAUACCAAUUGCGAAGGCAGGUUACUACUAGUUUAUUGACGCUGAUGGACGAAAGCGUGGGGAGCGAACAGGAUUAGAUACCCUGGUAGUCCACGCCGUAAACGAUGGAUACUAGCUGUUCGGGGUAACCUGAGUGGCUAAGCGAAAGUGAUAAGUAUCCCACCUGGGGAGUACGUUCGCAAGAAUGAAACUCAAAAGGAAUUGACGG